CUGGACACAGAUCGUGACUCUGAAUCGGAGUGAAAAUGAUCUGGUUAAAACCUCCGUGCUCCCCGGCCUUCCUCUGGAGCCUGAUUUGGGAGCCUGCCUUUGGAUCCAGUAACUGGAAUGCUGGAGGCAGGACAGCCAACACAGAGGAACCUGGAAGAUGAACACAGGUCUGUGGAGGAGCAGAAGUGACCGUCAGCUCAGCUGGGCCCCUCUGCAAGCCUGCCUGGCCCUUGGAAGUCCUCGUGUCCCGGGAGACCACAGGGAGCCUGGUGAUAGGAUCCUGCUUCCUUCCCGGGGUGCUGAGAGGAGCAAAUGAGUUGCAUCAAGCAGCACCUACCUCAUUAAUGCUUUGGAUAGUUGGCAAUCAGAGGGGCCAGGAGAUGCCUGCUGGGUAGGGUACACUAAGCUUAACACCCAUAAGGCCCCGGACCCUAGUCCCAGCAGGAUGGCGCCAGAGACAAUUCCAUGUAUGGUGGAGUGGUGCUGUGAUGCCUCUCCCUCUCUUUCUUUUUAAAAUUUUUUAUUUAUUUAUUCUCUUUUGUUGCCCUUGUUGUUUUACUGUUGUGGUUAUCGUUGUUAUUGAUGUCACUGUUGGAUAGGACAGAGAGAAAUGAAAGACAGAGAGGGGGAGAGAAAGACAGACACCUGCAGACCUGCUUCACCACUUAUGAAGUGACUCCCCUGCAGACAGGGAGCCAGGGGCUCGAACCGGGAUCCCUACACCGGUCCUUGGGCUUUGCACCAUGUGCGCUUAACCAGCUGUGCUGCCGCCCAACUCCCCUCUCCCUCUCUUUCUAUCUGAAGUGACAAAAUGGAGACGUUCCCUCAGGAGUGGUGGAACUGCACACGUGAGAGGUUCCCACACUGCAGUCCAUUGAUGGAUCAAUCAGGAAGUGGUGGCAGUCACUGUAGGGCC